rnacentral:rRNA from 1 species
UGGGGAAUAUUGCACAAUGGGGGAAACCCUGAUGCAGCGACGCCGCGUGAGCGAUGAAGGCUUUCGAGUCGUAAAGCUCUGUCCUAUGGGAAGAUAAUGACGGUACCAUAGAAGAAAGCCCCGGCUAAUUACGUGCCAGCAGCCGCGGUAAUACGUAAGGGGCGAGCGUUGUCCGGAAUUAUUGGGCGUAAAGAGUGCGUAGGCGGCAAAUUAAGUCAGAUGUGAAAACUAAGGGCUCAACCCAUAGAUUGCAUCUGAAACUGAUAUGCUUGAGUCAAGGAGAGGAAAGUGGAAUUCCUAGUGUAGCGGUGGAAUGCGUAGAUAUUAGGAGGAAUACCGGUGGCGAAAGCGGCUUUUUGGCCUGCAACUGACACUGAGGCGCGAAAGCGUGGGGAGCAAACAGG